AGUGAUUUCUAGGGCCAAGAGUUGUUACAAUGCUCCAGUCACGCAUGGAUCGCCACCUCCUCUUCCGCAUAUCAAGGCGCCUCCAAACGAGACUAUUGAGCCGCUUUUAAAAGGAAUGAAAGAGCCGCUUCGAAUGGACGGGAUUGAAAUCGGCGGUGAACACACCCAGUGUAGCCCGCCUUCUCGCAGUUACGCCAAGCGCAGCCCUGGUAUAGUGAUAUGCUCCCUCCGUGUCCCUCACUGAGUUGACUUCUUCCACCACGCCGCCAAGCCAGCCGCCUGUUCUCGCCACCGCCUGCCACACGUUCCCUGCCUCGAUGACCCGCCAGCUCAUCUCAAGGACCAUCUCCAUUACUUUUUUCAAUAAAUCUUUCAUCACAA